rnacentral:lncRNA from 1 species
GACUCAUGUUAUUUAGAAGUGUGUUGUUUAACCUGCAAGCAUUUUGGAAUUAUCCAGCUAUCCUUCUGCUGUUGAUUUUGUUUAAUUCCAUUGUAGCCUAAGGACAGUUAUUAUAUGAUUGUAUUCUUUUUAAAUUGUUAAGGUUUCACAGUUCAGAAUGUGUUCUACGUUCUAUGUUCUAUCUGAGCUAGGGAAGAAUGUGUAUUCUGUUGUUGGAUGAAGUAGUCUACAGAUGUCAGUUAUAUCCAGUUGAGUAAUGGUGUUGUUGAGUUCAACAAUGUCUGUACUGAUUUUCUGCCUGCUAAAUCUGGCCAUUUCUGAUAGAAGGGUAAUGAAGUCUCCAACUAUAAUAGUGAUUCAUCUAUUUUUUCCUCACAGUUCUACCAGUAUUUGCAUUGAGAAUUUGGUCACUCUGUUAUUAGGCACAUAAGAAUCCUCAGCUGCAUUUUGCAUUAUUUCCAGAGUUCUUGGUUGUAAUCAGUGGAGAGACAGGCUGUGGAAGACUUACCCCAUUUCGAUCAACACCAGGUGAAAAGGGCUGAGUUCAGAGCACUUCUCGACAGAUGAACAUAUGGAGGUUGACAGGAAGGGAACAAAAACUCAUCCAUGUACCAACAGUGGAGGACUCCACCUCCACAGGGACAAAAUCUCCUGUGCUCAGGACCCUUCCAAGUCUUGCCCUAUGUAUCUCUUUAUCUGUUUGUAUCCUUUGAAAUAAACCAGUAAACCAAA